rnacentral:lncRNA from 1 species
GGCAUAUUAAAAACAAAGGGGUGCCAAGCGACAGAUAGCAAGGCGGGGCGUAUUACCAGAUAACUCCCGGUCCUUCCGACCCAGCUCCUCUCCUGCUCGGCGCCCGGACUCCAGCGCAUCAGCGAGCUCUUGGCUGAGCUGCUCCUUCUCCUGUCGGAGACGCGCCACCUCCUCCUCCAGGUCUAAGUGAAUGACAACCUGGUC